rnacentral:rRNA from 1 species
UACAGAGGGUGCGAGCGUUGUUCGGAAUUAUUGGGCGUAAAGGGCGCGUAGGCGGUGCGGUAAGUCACCUGUGAAAUCUCCUGGCUCAACUGGGAGCUUGCAGGCGAAACUGCCGUGCUGGAGUGUGGGAGAGGUGCGUGGAAUUCCUGGUGGAGCGGUGAAAUGCGCAGAUAUCAGGAGGAACACCCGUAGCGAAGGCGGCACUCUGGGCCGAUACUGACACUGAGGAGCGAAAGCGUGGGGAGCGAACAGG